GUCUUUAUAGUUUAUACAAAACAUUUCAUUUUCAUUGAAAAAAAGAAAUAGGUUUCUUAAGAUU
rnacentral:tRNA from 1 species